GACGAACGCUGGCGGCGUGCUUAACACAUGCAAGUCGAACGGAAAGGCCCUGCUUUUGUGGGGUGCUCGAGUGGCGAACGGGUGAGUAACACGUGAGUAACCUGCCCUUGACUUUGGGAUAACUUCAGGAAACUGGGGCUAAUACCGGAUAGGAGCUCCUGCUGCAUGGUGGGGGUUGGAAAGUUUCGGCGGUUGGGGAUGGACUCGCGGCUUAUCAGCUUGUUGGUGGGGUAGUGGCUUACCAAGGCUUUGACGGGUAGCCGGCCUGAGAGGGUGACCGGACACGUGAGGACAGAUGUACGGGCCCGCGUGCGGCGGUGGGGAGGAGGGGGGGGUUGUGCAGGAGGGCUGGCUGCGUGAGGGGGGAACGCGGGUGGCGGCGUGACGGCCUGCGGGCUGAUGGUCGGGUUCGGCCGGGCAGAUGGGGGGGGGAGGGUAAUGGGGAAAGAAGCACGGGCUAACCACGCGCAGGCGGCGGCGGUAAAGAGAGAAGCGGCCCCGCUUGUCC
rnacentral:rRNA from 1 species